AUCGCUACUUCGUCUAGGUGAGCGUCUUGACUUGGAGGAAGGCCAGUUCUAUGGCCUGGAAGGAGAGUACAUGUUCUGUGGAUUAGAGGCGUUCCACCAGAGGACGGAGAGACACGUUUGACCGGCAAGAGAGGACGAGUCACUGGAGAGCCCGUCAUGAAGCCGGAAGACGUGGUCACUCAGCAGACCUAAAGCCAAGACUGGCCUGAGUCGGAUUUCCAGCAGAGACUGCCACAGUUCCCCUUCCCCAUCCCCUCCCUUGCAGAAGUUGGAAGUACUGGGCCUCAUCGUGGCGCAAGGGUGAACACCCUGUUCAAACCACAAUACACAUGUCAUGCUGAAACAGGAGCAGACUGUGUGGAGAGGUUUGAGCUGGGUGGCCAACACAGUACUACACUCACCAGUGUGAAGGAUGAAUGGAGAGUCUAUAGGCAAGUGUGCAAAAUGUGAGCUGUUGGAUGUAGUUUGUUAGUGUGUUGAAUGAAACCCAAACUUGAACCUCUUGCGUUUAAAAAAAAUGUGUCAUAUAUUUCUUGUAAAUAAACUGUUAAAUCUAAGUUUUGACUACUACCACAACUAGUAUUAUCUUUUAUGUCAUGUAUAUUGGGGCUGGAAGUGUAACACUACAGGUUUUUAAUGCUGUCCUCUGUUUAAUUCCUCUGACUGCCCAAUAGCAGGGGAAAUGACUCUAACACGUCUAGGUGAAGGACGAUAUAUCAUAAUGAGUUAUUUCCCUUUGUACAAACUGAUGAGAUGGCCUGGGUUUUAAAUUUUUUUUAUAUAUAUGCAAGUAUGUAUUUCUUGUAAGUAAAUCUUUUGAUCUAAGUUGUGACUUUGUAUUCUAGCUGACACUGCCCUGUGCUCUGCUAUUUUCAAACUGGUCAUAAAUGAGACUUUCUUGUGGUGGUAGAGACUAUGAACCUGUAGGCUACUAGAAAAAAAUUAACAAAGUUAAAUAAUUGAUUUAUGUUUUUUUAAAUUUAUUUAUGUAUUAUUUGUCUUAUAAAUACUUUUGUAUUGGCUAUUCUGUAUCACAACUUCUGCAUGAGUAUCAAGGUACCAGACCUGCCAAGUGGUGUGAUAAAAUUGGGAAUCUCCAACUGGCCAAAAA